rnacentral:tRNA from 1 species
GGAGAGAUGGCCGAGUGGUCGAAGGCGCGCGACUCGAAAUCGCGUAGGCUCCAAAAGGGUCUCGAGGGUUCGAAUCCCUCUCUCUCCG